GCUCAUCAAAGAAUCAUAUUAGGUGUGCAACUAAGUUCUCGCUGUAUUUUUGAUGAAAAUACAACUUUAUUCUAAAAAAAUGGUUACAAAUCUCGUAUGUCGUCGCGGUAAAACUGUUCAUCUUUUGGGGCUAUUCACGGAUCAAGCAAUUUUUUGAUGUCUUCAUAUGAAUGGAACUGCUGGUCAGCUAGACUAUGUGCCAUCGAUCCGAGCAGGUAUCACCGGCGCAAUAUCUGGAGAAUAUGACGGGUGGGGUGGGAUUUCCCAUUUCAGUGUUUCCAGUUCAUAACAAAUAACACCGACUUGGUCCCACCAAAUACAUAGCAUAACCUCCGCAGCGUGAAUAUUCGGCCGAGGCGACGACGUCGAAGCAUGACCGGGCAAUCCCCGGCCGGGUAACUCCUUAUAUUUGCGUUUGACACGAAUCCUCAUUGAGCAAUGCCUCCAAUUCAGCGUCUUCGAAGGUUUUUGGCUUUCCUUCACGCGGACGGUCGUCAACAUUAAAAUCACCGUCUUUGAAGCGACGGUUUUUUUCGAAUGAAAGAGUAAAAUCAACACUUCCCGCAAAUGACGAUUAUUCGGCACAAAAUCAAACAUUUUCACAAAACCAAAACAAAAUCACUAUUGUGUCGAAGCAGUUUGUUGACCAUAUGUCUAAGCUUGGUUUAUGACGUUUAGGUUAUGUUAGAAUCGUCUAACACGCACUACUUCCGGCAUCUAUUGACAAACAGCGGGAACUUAGUUGCGCACCUAAUAUAUAAAGUUAUAGGAAAAUGCAUUCCUUAUAAUUUUUUUCUA